rnacentral:rRNA from 1 species
CCUACGGGUGGCAGCAGUGAGGAAUAUUGGUCAAUGGACGAGAGUCUGAACCAGCCAAGUAGCGUGAAGGAUGACUGCCCUAUGGGUUGUAAACUUCUUUUAUAUGGGAAUAAAAUGUUCCACGUGUGGGAUUUUGUAUGUACCAUAUGAAUAAGGGUCGGCUAACUCCGUGCCAGCAGCCGCGGUAAUACGGAGGAUCCGAGCGUUAUCCGGAUUUAUGGGGUUUAAAGGGAGCGUAGGUGGGUUGUUAAGUCAGUUGUGAAAGUUUGCGGCUUAACCGUAAAAUUGCAGUUGAAACUGGCAGGCUUGAGUACAGUAGAGGUGGGCAGAAUUCGUGGUGUAGCGGUGAAAUGCUUAGAUAUGACGAAGAACUCCGAAGGCGAAGGCAGCUCACUGGACUGCAACUGACACUGAGGCUCGAAAGUGUGGGUAUCAAACAGGAUUAGAUACCCCGGUAGUC